CAGUGCUGCAGCUAACGCAUUAAGUAUUCCGCCUGGGGAGUACGACCGCAAGGUUGAAACUCAAAGGAAUUGACGGGGGCCCGCACAAGCGGUGGAGCAUGUGGUUUAAUUCGAAGCAACGCGAAGAACCUUACCAGGUCUUGACAUCUUCUGCCAGGCUGAGAGAUCAGCUGUUCCCUUCGGGCACGCAAUGACAGGUGGUGCAUGGUUGUCGUCAGCUCGUGUCGUGAGAUGUUGGGUUAAGUCCGCAACGAGCGCAACCCUUAUGUUCAGUUGCCAGCAUUUAGUUGGGCACUCUGGACAGACUGCCGGUGACAAACCGGAGGAAGGCGGGGAUGACGUCAAAUCAUCAUGCCCCUUAUGACCUGGGCUACACACGUGCUACAAUGGGUGGUACAACGAGCAGCGAGACCGCGAGGUCAAGCGAAUCUCUAAAAACCAUCCUCAGUUCGGAUUGCAGGCUGCAACUCGCCUGCAUGAAGCUGGAAUCGCUAGUAAUCGCGGAUCAGCACGCCGCGGUGAAUACGUUCCCGGGCCUUGUACACACCGCCCGUCACACCAUGAGAGUUUGUAACACCCAAAGCCGGUGGGACAACCGUAAGGAGUCAGCCGUCUAAGGUGGGACAAAUGAUUAGGGUGAAGUCGUAACAAGGUAACC
rnacentral:rRNA from 1 species